rnacentral:rRNA from 1 species
GUUGAACGCUGGCGGCAUGCCUAAUACAUGCAAGUCGAGCGGAUGGAGGAGGCUUUCUCCUCUCUGCUGUUAGCGGCGGGCGGGUGAUUACUACGAAGCUACCCUACAUUUGAGACUGGGGUACGUUCAGGGACCCUGAUCUCAUAUCGGACAAUAUUUUGAAACGGGUGGUUCAUCAGUGAUCGACGUUCUUGAUGACCCUUAUAGAGAUUUGCGCGCCGCAUUAGCUAGUUGGUAAGGUAACGGCUUACCAAGGCAACGAUGCGUAGCUGACCUGAGAGGGUGAUCGGCCACACUGGAACUGAGACACGGUCCAGACUCCUACGGGAGGCAGCAGUAGGGAAUCUUGGGCAAUGGGCGAAAGCCUGAUGCAGCCACGCCGCGUGUGUGAAGAAGGUCUUCGGAUUGUAAAACUCUGUUAGUUGGGAGGAAGAGAUGUGAGUUAAUAUGUUGACGUCUUGACGUUACCAAAAGAGAAAGCAACGGCUAACUUCGUG